rnacentral:sRNA from 1 species
UUGAUGUACAAAUAUAGGCAUACCGUGU